rnacentral:rRNA from 1 species
AAGUCGGAAUCGCUAGUAAUCGUAGAUCAGAAUGCUACGGUGAAUACGUUCCCGGGCCUUGUACACACCGCCCGUCACACCAUGGGAGUGGGUUGCAAAAGAAGUAGGUAGCUUAACCUUCGGGAGGGCGCUUACCACUUUGUGAUUCAUGACUGGGUGAAGUCGUAACAAGGUAACCGUAGGGAACCUGCGGUUGGAUCACCUCCUUACCUUAAAGAA